rnacentral:rRNA from 1 species
AGGGGUGAGUAACAAACCUGCCCGGGGACUGUAAAGGGGAAUGACUAAUCUAAACAUUACCUGAUAACGAAUAUUCCUGGAUGAGGAAAGCAUGAAAACCUUCCUUUGCUUGCGCUAUUCGAUGGGUUUAUAUCGGAUUAGCUAGUUGGUGGGGUAAAGGCCUACCAAGGCAACGAUGCAUAGCCGACCUGAAAAGGAGAACGGGCCAACUGGGACCUGAAACCCGGCCCAAACUCCUACGGAAGGCAGCAGUGGGAACUUUCGGACAGUGCGAAAAACCCUGAUCCAAAAUGCCCCGUGUCUGAAGAAUGCCUUCUCGUUAGCUCUGUUUUUGUCAAGAAAGAGAGUGAGAGGGUAGAGAUCUCACUUUGAUGACGCUUACUGAAAAAUAAGGGCCGGCUACCUGCCAGCCACCACGGGGGGUAAUACGUCCCGGUGCUAGUCUGAAUCUAUUGUACUGGGGCGAGCGCGAGCGCAUACAUAUACUUGAACGUGAUGGCUGAUCCUCCGGCCAUCAAACUCUUUGCUGCGUGUCUGAACUUGAGUGACUAAAGUGAGACUGAAGUUCCAUGUAAUUGCGCGAGUAGCAUAGAUAUGUGUAGAGAUGUGGAGGAAUACCCGUGUCUCUGGCUUGCUCUUGACGCUGAAGCUGAAGGUC